rnacentral:misc_RNA from 1 species
GGCAGGCACACUCUGUAAGCAAGGUACCAUUCUACUUGAUAUAUAACCAAUAAAAGUUAUUUAAAACCAAGAGGCAGUUUCUAUGUCAACAUCUACUUUGCCUCUAUAUAGACAGUAUGCAUAAUGUAACAUGUCUGAGGAUCAGAUUUAAUUCUCAACCUUAGGGGUGAAUUUGAUUUUUCCAACCUGGCACAUUGAAGGACUGAAUUCACAUCGACCUUUCCAAAAUCCAAAUUCAGGGAGUUGUUACGCUUAAUGAAGUGCUCAAAAUAAAUUAAUAGGCGUAUCAUAUUCAUUUAACCAUUGACUUUAUCAAGAAAAGGAUUAUUAAGGGUAUUUACAAAAUAUAGCAUCAUCAUCAUUAUUAAUUCUAAAUUUUAAAUAAAUUUCAUUAAAAAUGGGAGAAAAUGGAUUAGACGAGUUUGAUUAGGUUCAGAAGGUAUUCAAAUAAUGGAUUUGGUUCUAGUAUAGACUUAUGUAUUGCUUGUUUUGAAUCUCAUGAAUCCUGUUUGUUUGACGUCAGAUAGGUGAAUUACUAUUUAAAAAAAAAUGUGAAUACUGUACUACAAUCAGUUCUUCAAAAUUUACUUGUACUAUGGAACAUAAAUCAAUGAGGAGUAGACAAUCAAACUGACAUUUUCUACUGAGUUCUCGCUACUUUUAAUGGAACUUUAGCUUGAAAAGAAACCCUUCAACCAAAA